rnacentral:lncRNA from 1 species
GAGGGCUGUGCUGGAUUGAUGGGCGCCGGAGAGGCCGAUUGUGUCACAUUCUGCUGGACAGUUCUUUUAAGGUUGGGAGGGUGGGUAAGAAAAUACAUUCUGAUUCGGCUCUUUUCGGAUAACGCUUUCCCUCUGCUUACUGCUUGUAGAGACCUCACUUACCCGGGGGACUGGAUUCUGCAGCUUUUUCCAUUUUCUUCCCCGUUGAUAAGAGGAUUAAAGUAGGAAAUUGUAUUUGGCUACCCCAUGCUUAUAUGCUAAGCUUACUGUGAAAAUUAAGGUUAGGCUGUCUAGAGUACUUGUGGACCCUGCUGGUUCCCCCCGCCCCCCGGCCCUGAAUUUUGGGUUACAAUAUGCUUCUCAAGAAAACUCAGAGUUAAGAUAAUUUUUGUCAUCGAUUUUGCAAGGUUAUAUAUAGCAUAGCAUCCUUCAAUUUCCUUUGGAUGUUCUUAUCAAGUAAUGGUGGCUGUAAACCUAGCCUGUGUUGAAGAUUGUUAGAUAGACAGCAGUUUGGCUAACUCCGCCCUAAGGCGAGGCAGUUACUUGCCUCUGAUAAUGUAUUUAAAUGUCAUGGAGCAAGAUUCCCAGCUAAACCUGAAUCGAUCACAAUGCUAGUUAAAAAUGACCCUCGGCUGGGCGCAUUGGCUCCCGCCUGUAAUCCCAGCACUUUGGGAGGCCAAGGCAGGCGGAUCACCUAAGGCCAGGAGUUCAAGACCAGCCUGGGCAACAUAGGGUGACCUUGUCUCUAC